rnacentral:pre_miRNA from 1 species
AGGAGAAACAACCCCAGGGGCGGCGGCCAGCUCUGGAGUCCUGGAUUCAGCUCCCACAGGAACUACAGAGCUCUCCAUCUGCAGGGCCUGGAGGCUCCGGGGGCGG